CUGAUCAGAUUUAAGCCCCUUUAAAUGAAGAAGUCUGGGCUGCGUACACUGACUGACAGCAAAUCUGGCGGUUUAGUUCCUUUCAUCUGAUCUGGCAAACAUUAGGCUUAACUAACAGCAGGAGACAGGGAGGCAAUUGGCUUACUUUUAAUUAACUGCAAUCACUGGAGAUAUCUAUUGAGCUCGCUGGCUGUAAGCGGCACGGAGCUGCUAUUAUGGGGAUGACGCUCUUUUCCAAGCAGUGGUCGUCUAUUCUGAGGCAGAUUUUUGAACAUUUGGUGGUGUGGAACAUUUUUCCUAGCCAAGCAUCAAAUCCCACCUAAAUGUUUUCAGUCUCUGCUGAAGAAAAGAAUGAAGUAAAGAAAUGCUGUAAUGUUUUUGGGGGAUUUAGUGGUUUUAUAUCCCAGGCUCCAGCAUCUGAUUCUCCAAGAUAUGCUCUAUAUGGAAUACAGCACUCGGAGAGGAAUCCAUGUGUGAGUUACAUCUCUCAUAUCCUUAACACAUGUUUCUGCUUUUACUGCAUUACUUCAUCUGCUUCAUGUCUAAAGUUCUGGGCGUUUUUUUGAUCCCUAACCGAUUUAGGCUUCUCAAAGGCCGGACACAAACCCUGCUCACAUGUGCUUUGUGUAUAUUAUCUGGCUGAAACAGGUGUGAUAAAUAUCACUGGGCUCAUAGUGACCCUGUGACCUCAACCAGAAUCAGAAUCAUAAAGAAGCCCCCCCCCAUCAGGAUGAGUUAACACCCACCCACUGACUGUGGGCACAUGCAGUAUGUCACUUCCCAUAUGGGGCCCAUCACUCUUGUAUGAAGUUAUUUUUCUUUGCAUGCUGCGUAAUUUACAUUCACCAUCAUGUUUAAACAAUAAAUUAUCAGAAACCACCACUAUUCAGUACUACGGGAUUUACUGUAGAAUCAAUACUCUGUAUCUGCCAUCAUGUGCAUUUAUUUACAUGGAUUAUUCCAAGUACCCAGUAUGACAAGUGUGCCAGAAUGCCCAGUGAGGCCGGGGUGCACAACUGAUGAUGUCGUCGUCUUUGAUGGGGUGACUUUGAUGAUGACCAAUUAGUGAUAAUUCAACCAACAGAUCACCAACCCAACUGGAAGCAAGUGCUGUGCUGAAUUGUCAGGCAUCGUAACACAUAGACCUAUUAAGCAAACUGUAACUAUCAUCUCAGCCAUUUAAUUGAAAACAAUUAUGCAUAAAUUGGUGAAAUGGUUGUCAAAAUACUUUUUCCAUUUGACCAUCGUACUUUUUAUGGUAUUUAAUGUACUUACUUGAUUGUGUGCUGUAUUUACCAACUGAUGAGUUAGUGUGAUGAAUAAUCCUCAUUAUUCAUGCUGUUUGUUAUAGGAGAAGUUGCGGAUACUGUAUAGUCCAGGUAGAGUGGAAAGGGGAAAAGUGGCUGUGAUCGUUUAUCAGUCAGGGGAAGCUGAAGACACCCAAAGGUCAUUCUGCUUGAGCACGCGGCCCAGAACGCCUUUGUGAAGAAAGCAGCCCUCGGAUCAGCCCGACAUCAACCUGGUGCUUCAUGAAUGCACAUUCUCUUCCUCUCUCUGUCCGGUCACCAGAUCAGUUUGUUUCCGUAUUUCAUUGUAUUGAAGUCUGCCAAUGAGUACUGCUAAGGAUUUCAGAUAUCUUAUGUGUAUUAGAUGUGUUCAUUCUAGAAUAUUUUGGCCCUUCUGGGUUACGGGAAGGUGAAUAUUAACUCUGCCAAGGUCACACGAUUACCAGGGUAGGUGUCCAUCAUUACGUCUGAACCUUGCUCCACUCCACAUGUGAACUUCUUGGGGGAUAGAGACAUGUCAGAGACAGAGACGUCUUGGAGGAAAUGAUGUGUGGCCCUUAUUAGGUGAUAACAAAGUUAAUGUCAUUAAACACUUGACUCCAUGUUGUACCAACAAGCUGAACUAAAGGAUGUGCGGCAAGGAGCAGAUGAUGAAGACGGCCCUCUGGGAACAAGGAAGUGUCCUGUCUGCUGUAAAGCCUGCUGUGCAUGACCCCUGUGAACCUAGAUGAGCCUGUGUGAUGAAACAAUUCCUGAAAAUGCCACCAUCUGCUUUCACAGAAAACUGUGCCCUUGAAUAUUAAUCUCUUUCAGGGCUGUUUAUUCAUUAUUGUUUUCCUUCAAUUUGGUCACCUCUUUCCAUGCUGCGAUGAAUUUAUUUGCUGUCAUGGAAACAGUGUGAAAUGAAUCCAGCCUGUUUAUGCCCCCUGCCCCCCUCCCCUUAUUUCUUGUUUCCUUUCUCGGAUUUAAUUGCUAUGUUUCUUAUCAAGUUUUUGUCUGCAGUUAGAUUAUUUUGCAAUUGCUUUCCUUUCCAUUUCCUUGCUUUUCAUCUUCCAGGAUGUUCCAAAUUUGUUUCUCUGGUUGUAUUUUACCAAUUUGAGAAUGUGACUGCGGUAAAGGCUGGUACACUUGAUGGCUGGUUUGUGUU